GUUUGAUGCCGAACUCCCAAAGGAUUUCCAAAUAAUUCCCAUAGAUUUCUCGCGGCCUCACUAUCAAUGAAAACAUGAUACAAGCUUUCAGAUUGUGGGUUGCUACAACAAUUGCAUCUCGACGCCUGUUGAUUUUUAUGUUUCCUAAUAGUGUCGUCAAAGGGGGGCUUUUUUUGAAUCAUUCUCCAAACCAAAAAGGACAUUUGGAACGGUAUACAAUAAUGCCAUACUUUGCUCAGAAGAAGAUUUCUCUGGUUGAUUGUUCUAACAGUGUGCCAGGUUGAUGCAUUAGAUUUUGCCUAUUUUCAUUGAGGUUCCAGAUAUCCUGGUCGUUAUUGUUCGAAUUUCCUCUAGAGAUGAUGUUUAUAUGUUGUAGAAUAUGAAUGGGCAGGAGUUUCUCCAAUUUUUUCGUGUUCCACUCAUCGUUCUUGAAAAAAUGAGAAACAGAAAGUUUAC
rnacentral:lncRNA from 1 species